rnacentral:rRNA from 2 species
AGCAUCCGUAGCCGGUUGCAUAAGUUUUCGGUUAAAUCUAUGCGCUCGACGUAUAGGCCGCCGAAAAUACUGUGCAGCUAGGGAGUGGGAGAGGUACACGGUACUCAGUAGGAAGGGGUAAAAUCCUUUGAUCUAUUGAUGACCACCUGUGGCGAAGGCGGUGUACCAGAACACGUUCGACGGUGAGGGAUGUAAGCUGGGGGAGCAAACCGGAUUAGAUACCCGGGUAGUCCCAGCUGUAAACGAUGCAGACUCGGUGAUGCAUUGGCUUGUGGCCAAUGCAGUGCCGCAGGGAAGCCGUUAAGUCUGCCGCCUGGGAAGUACGUACGCAAGUAUGAAACUUAAAGGAAUUGGCGGGGGAGCACAAG